rnacentral:rRNA from 1 species
CCUACGGGAGGCAGCAGUGGGGAAUAUUGGGCAAUGGGCGAAAGCCUGACCCAGCAACGCCGCGUGAAGGAAGAAGGCUUUCGGGUUGUAAACUUCUUUUGACAGGGAAGAGCAGAAGACGGUACCUGUCGAAUAAGACACGGCUAACUACGUGCCAGCAGCCGCGGUAAUACGUAGGUGGCCAGCGUUGUCCGGAUUUACUGGGUGUAAAGGGCGUGUAGCCGGGCUGACAAGUCAGAUGUGAAAUCCGGGGGCUCAACCCCCGAACUGCAUUUGAAACUGUUGGUCUUGAGUAUCGGAGAGGCAGGCGGAAUUCCUGGUGUAGCGGUGAAAUGCGUAGAUAUUAGGAGGAACACCGGUGGCGAAGGCAGCCUGCUAGACGACAACUGACGGUGAGGCGCGAAAGCGUGGGGAGCAAACAGGAUUAGAUACCCUGGUAGUC